GAGGUAGUCCAAAUGGUCCAGUGCAAGAAAACUGGGGGACAAAAGAUCAUGCCCAUUUUCUAUGAUGUGGCGGCUUCGGAGGUUCGAUACCAAACCGGGGGUUAUAAAGACGCCUUUCUUUUACAUGAAAGCAAGAAGCGAUGUGACCAAAAGACCAUCGGAGAGUGGAAGGCUGCUCUCAGUGCAGUUGGGGAAAUAAACGGAUGGGACCUGCAUAUCAAGGGGGAGAACAGGUGAGCGUGAUUGGUUUGGUAAAGGGAGCAAUCUUAUUGUUACUACUAGAAACAAAGAGGUUCUUGAUGCUCUCCAAGUGGACGGCCGUUAUGAGCUUAUGGGCAUGGAUCGCGAUCAAUCUCUUCAACUUUUUAGCAAACAUGCCUUUAGAAGAGAUUCCCCUUUAGACGAACAUAUCUUCCAAUCCAACAGGGCGAUAGACAUUGCUGGAGGUCUUCCGCUCGCUCUUGAAGUCAUAGGUUCACUUUUAUCUCGCACUGAAAAGGAAAAGUGGGAUGCCACAUUGGAGACGCUAAAAAAAGUUCCUCGUGAGGAAGUUCAGAGUAAGCUGAAAAUAAGCUACGAUGCAUUAGAUUUGCAGCAAAAGCGUAUGUUCCUUGACAUAGCUUGUCUUUUCAUUGGAUAUGAUAAAGACAUUCUGCUUCAUUUCUGGAUUGAAUUUGAUUUUUUUCCCGAAGUGGCCAUGGAAGUUUUGCAGAACUUAUCUUUGAUUAAGAUUACAGAGGAUAAUGAAGUGUGGAUGCACGAUCAAGUCAGAGAUCUUGGAAGACAUAUAGUUCGUCAAGAAAGUAAGAUGAAAAUAGAGAAGCAAAGUAGGGUGUGGGAUCAUAAGCAAGGAUUCGAUUUGCUGAGGCAACGUAAGGGAAAAAAAGAAGUUGAAGCUCUUCGUCUCAACUUGGAACAUCAGCCGCCGAAUGGUUUUACCUACGAGGGCUUUGAGAACCUAUCAGAUCUAAGGUUCCUUGAAGUGGAUGGUUCGAUGGUAUCUUUUCAUGCAGAAGAGAGGCUUCUUUGGCCCAAAUCACCAUCUAAUGUUCUUUCAACUAAUGAGAAUACAGAUCUCCUUCCGCAAUUAUGAUGGCUUUCGUGGCAUGAUUUUCCCCCAACAUUUAACAUUGCAAAUUUCUUCGUUGAGGAUCUGGUUAUUCUCAAUCUAUCUAAGAGUAAAAUUACGGAUGAUUGGAAGGGUUGGAGGCACAUGAAGUUGAUGAAGAAUUUGAAAGUUCCGAAUCUAUCAAAAUGUCGAAAUCUAAAAAGGCUGCCAGACGAGCCGGGUAGAUAUCUUGCAAGCCUUGAAUACUUAUCUCCGGAAGAUUGCGUAUGGUUGGAGAGGCUUCCGAAUUCAAUUGAAAAUUUGGAAUUGCUGAUUGAGUUGGAUAUAUCCGGGACGAGGAUCGAAGAACUGCCAGAUUCCAU